rnacentral:rRNA from 1 species
GACGAACGCUGGCGGCGUGCUUAACACAUGCAAGUCGAACGGAAAGGCCCUGCUUUUGUGGGGUGCUCGAGUGGCGAACGGGUGAGUAACACGUGAGUAACCUGCCCUUGACUUUGGGAUAACUUCAGGAAACUGGGGCUCAUACCGGGUAGGAGCUCCUGCUGCAUGGUGGGGGUUGGAAAGUUUCGGCGGUUGGGGAUGGACUCGCGGCUUAUCAGCUUGUUGGUGGGGUAGUGGCUUACCAAGGCUUUGACGGGUAGCCGGCCUGAGAGGGUGACCGGCCACAUUGGGACUGAGAUACGGCCCAGACUGCUACGGGAGGCAGCAGUGGGGAAUAUUGCAGAAUGGGCGGAAGCCUGAUGCAGCAACGCCGCGUGCGGGAUGACGGGCUUCGGGUUGUAAACCGAUUUCGCCGGUGACGAAGCGUGAGUGACGGUAAUGGGUAAAGAAGCAACGGCUAACUACGUG